GCUAAUACCGCAUAAGCCCACGGUGCCGCGGGCACAGAGGGAAAAGGAGCAAUCCGCUUUGAGAUGGCCUCGCGUCCGAUUAGCUAGUUGGUGAGGUAACGGCCCACCAAGGCGACGAUCGGUAGCCGGACUGAGAGGUUGAACGGCCACAUUGGGACUGAGACACGGCCCAGACUCCUACGGGAGGCAGCAGUGGGGAAUAUUGCACAAUGGGGGGAACCCUGAUGCAGCGACGCCGCGUGGAGGAAGAAGGUCUUCGGAUUGUAAACUCCUGUUGUUGGGGAAGAUAAUAACGGUACCCAACAAGGAAGUGACGGCUAACUACGUGCCAGCAGCCGCGGUAAAACGUAGGUCACAAGCGUUGUCCGGAAUUACUGGGUGUAGGGGGAGCGCAGGCGGGAAGACAAGUUGGAAGUGAAAUCUAUGGGCUCAACCCAUAAACUGCUUUCAAAACUGUUUUUCUUGAGUAGUGCAGAGGUAGGCGGAAUUCCCGGUGUAGCGGUGGAAUGCGUAGAUAUCGGGAGGAACACCAGUGGCGAAGGCGGCCUACUGGGCACCAACUGACGCUGAGGCUCGAAAGUGUGGGUAGCAAACAGGAUUAGAUACCCUGGUAGUCCACACCGUAAACGAUGAUUACUAGGUGUUGGAGGAUCGACCCCUUCAGUGCCGCAGUUAACACAAUAAGUAAUCCACCUGGGGAGUACGACCGCAAGGUUGAAACUCAAAGGAAUUGACGGGGGCCCGCACAAGCAGUGGAGUAUGUGGUUUAAUUCGACGCAACGCGAAGAACCUUACCAAGUCUUGACAUCCCUUGACAGGCAUAGAAAUAUGUUUUCUCUUCGGAGCAAGGAGACAGGUGGUGCAUGGUUGUCGUCAGCUCGUGUCGUGAGAUGUUGGGUUAAGUCCCGCAACGAGCGCAACCCUUAUGGUCAGUUACUACGCAAGAGGACUCUGGCCAGACUGCCGUUGACAAAACGGAGGAAGGUGGGGAUGACGUCAAAUCAUCAUGCCCUUUAUGACUUGGGCUACACACGUACUACAAUGGCGUUAAACAAAGAGAAGCGAGACCGCGAGGUGGAGCAAAACUCAGAAACAACGUCCCAGUUCGGACUGCAGGCUGCAACUCGCCUGCACGAAGUCGGAAUUGCUAGUAAUCGUGGAUCAGCAUGCCACGGUGAAUACGUUCCCGGGCCUUGUACACACCGCCCGUCACACCAUGAGAGCCGGGGGGACCCGAAGUCGGUAGUCUAACCGCAAGGAGGACGCCGCCGAAGGUAAAACUGGUGAUUGGGGUGAAGUCGGAACAAGGU
rnacentral:rRNA from 1 species